rnacentral:SRP_RNA from 3 species
GCUGGGCGUGGUGGUGCGUGCCUGUAAUCCCAGCUACUCAGGAGGCUGAGGCAGAAGAAUCACUUGAAUCCAGGAGGUGGAGGUUGCAUUGAGCUGAGAUCAUGCCACUGCACUCUAGCCUGGGCAACAGAGUGAGACUCUGUCUCAA